rnacentral:lncRNA from 1 species
AGAGAAUCAGAGGUGGGUAGUUCUGCUGCUUAUGCAGCUACCUCCAGGGCCAGGAAAGGUGCUUGGCCCUCUGCCCACAAAAGCAGGGACUAUAAGGAUUUACUCAUAUCCUACAGAAGUGCAUGGGAUGGUGGGAAAACCUGGCUCCCUUCCCAUCGUCCAGCUCCCAAGCAAGGAGAGACCCAGUUGACAGGGCACCUCUGGGAACCAGUGUUUUACUUAUUCAGAACUCAGUCCUACUCUACCUAGAAGGGGAGGGUUCAGGGCUCUAAGAGAGGGCUGGGGUAGAGAGUUGCACCCCUAAUUCCAAGGAGAGAUGAAGAUAUAAUUUAUGUGGGCAGGAAGCAACAACUGAAGAGCUAGGGAGAAGCUGCUGUGGGGAGCAUUUCAGUGGAGUUGAAUAAGAAUUUUGGGGUACAAAAAAGAUAGUCUGAGACUCAAAAAUGACAGGGCAGGUGAGCUGUUAGAAUGCAGGAAAAGCCCUGAGCCUUUGAAUUGCAAAAAUUUUCCUGUGCAAACUGGCCCGUGGCUCUUGCCCUUGGCCCAAGCCCUUGGUCCACACCCUUGACUCAUGUCCUUGCAUGCAAAAUAAUACAAGGACACUGCACAAGUGCUAGAAAAACCGUUGUGAAGUUAUGUAAUUCUGCCUUGACUCCACCUCUGUUUCAGCCUUAGUUACUGUCCCUCUAUAAAUAAUACCACAGACCAAGGUCCUAUCUCUUCCUCUGGAGGUGGCUCAUAUUAUUCCUUGAAUGUGUCUUCCUCAUGUAACCCCCAAAACUUCUCACCCUCAAGAUAGUCCCAGUUAUCCCUUGAAUGUUUAUUUCUUUACCCCCAAAGAUAUUAGAUAGUCUGCAUUCUCCCUUGAAAGUACAUCUGCUUUCCUAAAUAAAUCUGUCUGGAGCAUGCUGAAGUUCUCUUUGUGUCACAUAUCCCUACAUAUCCUAAGUUAAGGUCUCUCUCUCAGUGAACCCCUGAGAUGAUAGAGUGACUGGGCUGCAUAGAAAGUGUCCAUGGGCUCAAAGCUGAAUGUCAGACCCUGUAGAAAUACUGCAGUGUGACAGGCUAUGGCUUUAGAAGAGAACCCUAGAAAACCAGGCUCUGUGGGGAAGUAUGACUGUUGAAUGUUCAAUUUGUUCAACAUUUUCUGAGAGGGUGCAGACUCUGAGGCCCAUGGACAGCCAAGAAAGCCCCUUAAAUGAGAAUAGCUGGGAUAUCAUUGCCUCAGAGCCCACUGUUAAUGGGAAGAGAAAGAUCCCAGAAGCUUUAAGUUUUUUUUUUUUUUUUUAGCAGAAAAAUAAAGAGGAGCAUUGAGAGAAGAGAACCAUCUGUGGAUGUAUGAAACUGACCUGGGCCUAAGAAGAUAUGUGUGGCCCAAAUAUCUGUCUCUGAGGAAAAUGGACAGCAAUCUUCAGAUAAGUAAACUUCCAAUUUGAGCUCAGUCAGAGGGACCACUGGAGACACACAGGCUGGCCAUGUCUGUUGGGGCUGUGGCUCUGCCCUGCAGAAAGUGUCAUGACAAAAGGCAGGCCCAGGACCUGAGCCAACCUGUUGCUAAAUCAAGAUUCCUGAGAUCUCAGCUGGUUACCUUCUGUGAUACUAUAAGGUGUUUUUUUUUUUUUGUUUUGUUUUGGUUUGGGGCACUAGGGAUUGAACCCAGGAAUGUUUUACCAUUGAACUACAUUCCCAGUCCUUUUAAUUUUUUUAAUGUUUUUUUUUAAGGGCCUUGUGCAUGCAAAGCAAGCAUUCUACCAACUGAGCUAUAUCCCCAGCCCUUUUUUUUUUUUUUUUUUUUUGAGAAAGGGCCUUGCCAACUUGCUGAGGCUGACCUUGAACCUUUGAUCUUCCUGCCUCAGCCUCCCAAGUUGCUGGAAUUAAAGGUACAUGCUACUGUGUUGGCAACACUAUGAAAUACAUAUUUGGUCUUCCUCCAGUUUCCUGGCAUACAACUCCUAAAACCUUUGAAAUCUAAAAAGUAAUAAAUGUCUUUUUGCAUGCUAAUGAGCUGACUAAUGGCUAGCAGCCAAGAAGCUUCAGGAUGAGGGAUGGUCACAAGAUGAUAGAUCAAAGCCUGAUUAGAGGUUUGACACUUUCAGCCCCAUCCUCCAAACUUAGAGGAGGGAGAAGGGCUAAAAGUUGAGUUGAUCACCAAUGGCUAAUUAUUUAAUCAGUCAUGCUUAUGUAGUGAGAUCUCCACAAAAACCCAAAAGCAUAGAAUUGGGUGAGCUUCCAGAAUGCUGAACACAUGGAGGGUCCUAGAUGGUGGAGCAUCCAGACAGGGCAUGGCAGCUCUGCAUCCCAUCCUUCAUAUCUUACCCAGUGCAUCUCUUCAUCUGUAUCCUUUAUAAUAAACUAGUACAUGUAAUUAAAGUGUUCCCCCAAGCUCUGUGAGCCACUCUAGCAAAUUAGUCAAACAGGAGGAAGGGGUUAUGGGAACCCUAAUUCAUAACUGAUUAGUGGAAGCACAAUUAAACCAAACUCAGACUUGUGAUUGGCAUUGGAAGUGGGGGGAAGUCUUGUGCAGCUGAACCAUUAACAUAUAGGAUUCAACAAUAUUUCCAGGUAGAUGUGUAAGAAUUGAAUUGAACUACAGAACACACAGCUGCUAUCUGCUGCAGAAAGAUUGAUUGGUUCCUGGUGAGGAGAAAUCCCCAUUUGCAUCUUGGUAACCAGAGGUCACAGAAUUGUUCUGUUUAUUGUGUUGUGAGAGUAAAGUUGUGGGGGGGGAUCUAUGUUUCUUCUCAGACCUUGUGCCUAGUUGUAGCCGUGGCUGGCUUUUUGGCCCCUGUGUCCUAGCCUUUGGGGAUGGAGGCAACAAGCCAAGCCCACACUUGGCCAGGGUGUUAAGGAGUGCAGUGUCCCUGAGGCCAGGGAAAAGGUGACAAAAAAAAUAACUUGUGGCAGAUCUCCAAGAGGGAAGGUGACUUUUUUUUUCCUUUUCCCAGCUAGAGGGAUUGAACCCAGGGAUGCUCUACCACUAAGUUAUGUUCACAGGCCUUUUUAUUUAUUUAUUUAUUGAGACAAGGUCUCACUAAAGUGCCCAGGUUGGCCUCAAACUUGUGUCCUCCUGCUUCAGCCUCCUACAGGUGCAGGAAAGUGACUCUUCUUGGAGUCUUGCUGCUCCUUCCCACAGCAAAGGCCUCCCUUUCACAACCGCCCACUUCAGAGAAGGAUGACCAGCCUAGCCGGGGUUCCUCAAAGACAGCACAAAUGGGAGCAAAAGUGGAGGCAACUGCCUCACAUGCUCCUGAGUCUACUGCUGGGAUUAUUUAAGCAGACUCCAACCCCACUAGAGCCCACCUCGGUGCUGUGGGCAGGGGGAGUAGCAGCUCUAGAAAGUGGUAUACCUACAUACAUUUAAGGAUUAACCAACCAGGAGCUAAAACAGUGCUCACAAGUGUUAUAUAUUAACUCAUUUCAACCUUAGAAAUGUACAAGAAUGGGGGCUGGGGAUGUGGCUCAGCUCGCCUGGCAUGUGUGCGGCCCAGGUUCGAUCCUCAGCACCACAUACAAACAAAGAUGUUGUGUCCGCUGAAAAACUAAAAAAUAAAUAUUAAAAACUCUCUCUCUUUUAAAAAAAACAACUAUGAUUAUUAAAGAAAAAAAGAAAUGUACAAGAAGUAUUAUCUUCAGAAAGGUCAAAGAUAGUUAAUUUCCCCGGAUGGGAGAACAUGUUUUGCCGCCAAUGCCUGAUUUAUAAUAAGUGCUCAAUCCGUGCUGAAGGAAGAAAGUAAAGGAUGGACUUGUCCCAGUAGAUCACCUGGCAAUAAGGGGUGGUGCUGGAAGGGACCUUCAGCCCUCUAACUCAACAGUUUCUGUCCAGGCCCCAUUCCCUUCCAUUCUGGCUGCCCAUUGGAUGAAAGUGGCAGAACUGUUGGG